GACGAACGCUGGCGGCGUGCCUAAUACAUGCAAGUAGAACGCUGAAGAGAGGAGCUUGCUCUUCUUGGAUAAGUUGCGAACGGGUGAGUAACGCGUAGGUAACCUGCCUUGUAGCGGGGGAUAACUAUUGGAAACGAUAGCUAAUACCGCAUAACAAUGGAUGACACAUGUCAUUUAUUUGAAAGGGGCAAUUGCUCCACUACAAGAUGGACCUGCGUUGUAUUAGCUAGUAGGUGAGGUAAUGGCUCACCUAGGCGACGAUACAUAGCCGACCUGAGAGGGUGAUCGGCCACACUGGGACUGAGACACGGCCCAGACUCCUACGGGAGGCAGCAGUAGGGAAUCUUCGGCAAUGGGGGCAACCCUGACCGAGCAACGCCGCGUGAGUGAAGAAGGUUUUCGGAUCGUAAAGCUCUGUUGUAAGUCAAGAACGGGUGUGAGAGUGGAAAGUUCACACUGUGACGGUAGCUUACCAGAAAGGGAUGGCUAACUACGUG
rnacentral:rRNA from 1 species